rnacentral:rRNA from 1 species
AUUGAACGCUGGCGGCAGGCUUAACACAUGCAAGUCGAGCGGGGUGAUGGUGCUUGCACUAUCACUUAGCGGCGGACGGGUGAGUAAUGCUUAGGAAUCUGCCUAUUAGUGGGGGACAACAUCCCGAAAGGGAUGCUAAUACCGCAUACGUCCUACGGGAGAAAGCAGGGGAUCACUUGUGACCUUGCGCUAAUAGAUGAGCCUAAGUCGGAUUAGCUAGUUGGUGGGGUAAAGGCCUACCAAGGCGACGAUCUGUAGCGGGUCUGAGAGGAUGAUCCGCCACACUGGGACUGAGACACGGCCCUGACUCCUACGGGAGGCAGCAGUGGGGAAUAUUGGACAAUGGGGGGAACCCUGAUCCAGCCAUGCCGCGUGUGUGAAGAAGGCCUUAUGGUUGUAAAGCACUUUAAGCGAGGAGGAGGCUCUUUUGGUUAAUACCCAAGAUGAGUGGACGUUACUCGCAGAAUAAGCACCGGCUAACUCUGUGCCAGCCGCCGCAGUAA